AUGUCGCGCGGCAGGGACCCUUUGGCACUGAGCCAGGUAAUUGGUGAUGUGUUGGAUCCUUUCAUAAAGUCAGCUGCCAUGAUAAUUAAUUAUGGUGAGAAGGAGAUUACAAAUGGCACUGGGGUACGAUCAUCUGCCGUGCUCAAUGCACCACAGGUGCAGAUUGAAGGUCGUGACCGGACGAAGCUCUACACACUUGUUAUGGUGGAUCCUGACGCGCCAAGUCCAAGCAAACCGGAAUACAGGGAAUAUUUGCAUUGCCCUCUCAAAAAAGGAGGGGGGUGUUUCUUUUCCAUCCAUCAACAGCUGAAGAACUCUUGUUCUGUAUGCUAUUGGAGGUUGGUGACAGACAUCCCAGAGGCAACAGAUGCACGUUUUGGCAAUGAAAUAGUUCCCUAUGAAGCUCCACGGCCACCAGCCGGUAUUCAUCGGCUUGUUUUUGUGCUAUUCAAACAGGAAGCACGGCAGACAGUUUAUGCACCAGGAUGGCGGCAAAAUUUUAACAUCAGAGACUUCUCAGCAUUUUACAAUCUUGGACCACCGGUUGCUGCAUUAUUCUUCAACUGCCAAAAGGAGAGUGGUGUUGGUGGCAGAAGGUUCCAAGGACCAGGCUGA
rnacentral:rRNA from 1 species